UACGGGGGGGGCAAGCGUUGUUCGGAAUUACUGGGCGUAAAGGGCUCGUAGGCGGCCAACUAAGUCAGACGUGAAAUCCCUCGGCUUAACCGGGGAACUGCAUCUGAUACUGGAUGGCUUGAGUUCGGGAGAGGGAUGCGGAAUUCCAGGUGUAGCGGUGAAAUGCGUAGAUAUCGGAAGGAACACCUGUGGCGAAAGCGGCUCACUGGACCAUAACUGACGCUGAGGCACGAAAGCUAGGGGAGCAAACAGG
rnacentral:rRNA from 1 species